GUCCUCAAACACCUGGCCAUCCAGGGUGCACCUGGUGUCCUUGACUGGGGGGGGGGACACAGGAAGUACAGCUGAGAUACCAGAGUACACACAGCUCACACACUACCAACUGGAAAGAAAACCCUUGCCUGGAGGAGGAGAGCAUGAAAAAGCGUGCCACAACUUGCAUACGAGGGAAGCAGCCAAACGAACGCUCGGAGAAGAAAGAUGGAGGUCUUGUUGGGAUGCCUAAUGCCUUACGAACGCCCUGUGGUGUCUGUCUACAGACAAUGGAACAUCAAAGGUCAAAUCUUUAAGCUUUCUCCUCUUCUCUUUCUCAAAUCUUAGCAGCUGUCCAGCCAUAAAGACAAAAACUUUAAAAACAACAAGAAGAAGAAGAGUUGAGAAGCUCCGACAAAGUGAUGAAACUUACUGUCGUCCUCGCCCUGAGACCUGACCAGGAGUGCCGCUGCGCUGAGCAGCAGGGCUAGCCGCAAAUCCACAAAGCUGAACAUGUCUAGUUGUCACCAGACAUGUAGACUCUUUGAGGCAAGAAAGGAAGAAAAAAGUUGGGGAUAUUUUCUCUUUCUGCUACACUCCACUCAUACGCGGGUGUUUGGGGCAGGAUCUGUGCGUCUGUCCAAAGUCCUCCUGACCCCAGUAGAAAACUCCCUAC